CACUUACCUUGUACUAAACUCCUCUUAUUUUUUUCUAAAGAAAAUUGCACAUACAUAAUAACACCGAGGAAAGAAAAGAUGCUGCAAUCUACCUUGUUUAGAUGCCCUUCUUCGAAUCUUCAUUUUGGGAAAGGAAGGCCACGAGUAGUUAAAAGAGGCAGCACAGAGAGUGGAUGUGAGGGGCCCUGGAUGUGGGAGAAGCAAAAAUAACAGCCCCAAGUCUGGACAGAGGAGGGACGCAGGGAUAGGGAAGUGCCUGAUGUACCCUAAGGAGAAGAAAUCCCUCCUAGAAGGAAGAACCCAUGGACUUCAGGAGAGCAGCAUCUAACUAAUAAUGUUCCAUUCCAAUUUUCCCAAACCUUCCAAGAAAACAUCUUGCAUGCCAUAGACUUGUUCACAGACUUAUUUUUAUCAAUUUUAAAAUUAAAGUUUAACUGACUAUA